rnacentral:rRNA from 1 species
UACGUAGGGUGCGAGCGUUGUCCGGAUUUAUUGGGCGUAAAGAGCUCGUAGGUGGCUCGAUAAGUCGGGUGUUAAACCCCCAGGCUCAACCUGGGGCGCCACUCGAUACUGUCGUGGCUAGAGUCCGGUAGGGGAGCGUGGAAUUCCUGGUGUAGCGGUGAAAUGCGCAGAUAUCAGGAGGAACACCAGCGGCGAAGGCGGCGCUCUGGGCCGGAACUGACACUGAGGAGCGAAAGCGUGGGUAGCAAACAGG